rnacentral:rRNA from 1 species
UACGGGGGGAGCAAGCGUUGUUCGGAUUUACUGGGCGUAAAGGGCGCGUAGGCGGCCAGCACAAGUCAGUUGUGAAAUCUCCGGGCUUAACCCGGAGCGGCCAAGUGAUACUGUCGUGCUAGAGUGCGGAAGGGGCUACUGGAAUUCUCGGUGUAGCGGUGAAAUGCGUAGAUAUCGAGAGGAACACCUGCGGCGAAGGCGGGUAGCUGGGCCGACACUGACGCUGAGGCGCGAAAGCCAGGGGAGCGAACGGG